rnacentral:rRNA from 1 species
AACGAACGCUGGCGGCAGGCCUAACACAUGCAAGUCGAGCGGACCCUUCGGGGUUAGCGGCGGACGGGUGAGUAACGCGUGGGAAUAUGCCCUUCUCUACGGAAUAGUCCUGGGAAACUGGGGGUAAUACCGUAUACGCCCUUUGGGGGAAAGAUUUAUCGGGGAAGGAUUAGCCCGCGUUGGAUUAGGUAGUUGGUGGGGUAAUGGCCUACCAAGCCGACGAUCCAUAGCUGGUUUGAGAGGAUGAUCAGCCACACUGGGACUGAGACACGGCCCAGACUCCUACGGGAGGCAGCAGUGGGGAAUCUUAGACAAUGGGGGCAACCCUGAUCGAGCCAUGCCGCGUGAGUGAUGAAGGCCUUAGGGUUGUAAAGCUCUUUCAGCUGGGAAGAUAAUGACGGUACCAGCAGAAUAAGCCCCGGCUAACUCCGUG